rnacentral:rRNA from 1 species
GCGGGGAGUGGCGAAGGGAGGAAAAGGGAACGGAACGUGCCCAGUGUCGGGGGAUAACUACCCGAAAGCGUGGCUGACAGCGCAAACCCCCGAGGGGGGAAAGGGGGGGAACUUAGGACCUCUCACUAUUGGAGCGGCCGAUAUCGGAUUAGCUAGUUGGUGGGGUAAAGGCCUACCAAGGCAACGAUCCGUAGCUGGUUUGAGAGGACGACCAGCCACACUGGGACUGAGACACGGCCCAGACUCCUACGGGAGGCAGCAGUGGGGAAUUUUGGACAAUGGGGGAAACCCUGAUCCAGCCAUCCCGCGUGUGCGAUGAAGGCCUUCGGGUUGUAAAGCACUUUUGUCAGGGAAGAAAAGGUUUCGGAUAAUACCCGGAACUGAUGACGGUACCUGAAGAAUAAGCACCGGCGAACUACGUGCCAGCAGCCGCGGUAAUACUUAGGGUGCCAAGCCGUUAUUCGGAAUUACUAGGGCUUAUACGCCGGUGCGCAGGGAGAUUCGGAUACAGAAAGACUCUUUCGAAUUCCCGGGGCUCCACACUUGGAACUGCAUGUUUUAACUUCCUGGCACUCGUGUUUUUCAGAGGGGGGUGUAGAUCUCCCCGUGUGGGGCUCUGACUAGGGCCCUAGAUGGCGCGAGAAACACAUGGGGAUAGGGGCCCCCCCAGGGAAACAAUGAAUUUUUUUCCAUGACCGCGCGGGGCAUACCGGUUAAAGAUCCCAUUGUUCUCCCACGCCUUACACUUUUUCAAGGUGGUCUUGCGCCUUUAUGGGCAUGUAGUGCGGCACACGGGAAAUCCUCCCCCCCUUGGGGGGUACCUUCGCAAGUUUAAAUUCAAAGGAUUCGAGGGGGGACCCCCCCCAAUUGCAGGUUAUUUUGUCUUAAUUCGCUGCACACGCGAAAAACCCUACUAAACCCCCUAGACAUGUUUGGUAUCGGAAGAGAUUUAGGAGUGCUCGCAAGAGAACCGGAACACAGGUGCUGCAUGGCUGUUGUCAGCUCGUGUCGUGAGAUGUUGGGUUAAGUCCCGCAACGAGCGCAACCCUUGUCAUUAGUUGCUACAUUUAGUUGAGCACUCUAAUGAGACCGCCGGUGACAAACCGGAGGAAGGUGGGGAUGACGUCAAGUCCUCAUGGCCCUUAUGGGUAGGGCUUCACACGUCAUACAAUGGUCGGGUAAGGGGGUGGCCAAACCGCAAGGUGGAGCUAAUCUCAUAAACCCGAUGUAGUCCGGAUUGCAGGCUGCAACUGCCUGCAGAAGUGGAAUCAGAGGUAAUCCCGGAUCAGCACUCGCGGGGAAUACGUUCCCGGGUGUGGUACACACCUUUAGCCACACCUCCCGGGUGGCUUUUACCCCAUGUUGUUAUCCUAACGGCGAACGGGGCGAGUACC